CUGACGAGAAUACCCCAGGGGUAUGAGCGAUGCCUGAUAGGUCUCAUAGCCCCUGCAUAUUUUAUAUUUGGAUAUUUUAGUUUAUCGCCUCACAACUAUUUCAGUUUGUUAUAAUUAUGAUGUAAUUAAUUAUGACAAUUAUCGUUUGUGUUACGCUUUGGAUUUACAUUAGAUGUUUUUUGAAAAAAAAAUGCACUCACGCUGUUAAAAAUUGGGGUGUUACACUAGAGGUAGACAAAUUUGCCACACCCGCCCGUAACCGGCCGACCCAUACGGCCCAUAAGCAAAUGGGUGGUUUGGAUCGGGUUGUCGGAUUCCGCAGGUGAACUUCAAUGCAUAUACACGGUUUACAAUGGUCGGGUUCGGGUGAAGAAAUUGGAUCCAUCGGCAACCGUAACCGACCGUCCAAUAUAUAUGAGAUUGAGGCCCAACCUUCCUCUCCAUAUUUUGGCCCAGUCCAUUUCAACUUUUCAUAUAAAAUCACUACUUCUAUCAAACUCUAGCCGCCCAACAAACCCUAGCCGCCCAGAAAACCCUUGCUCUGCAUCUUUUCUCUCGUUUUCAACUAUCAUUUUCUUUUCCUUCGAAACCUUCCUUCGAGAACCCAGUAACACAUCUUAGAAGCUCUUGACCUCUCUUUUAUUCACUUCAUUAUAUUAUACUCUUUUCGAUCUCACAUCUUCAACCACAAAUGGAAAAGGGGCAAAAAAGUGUUGGACAAAGCUCACAACUGCACAUAGAAAGGAGCAUCUUUUUUGUUUGUUGGCUCAGAGCAAGAAGCUUAUAAUGUAAGGCUUUCUGUUGUAGCAGAGAAAAACUACUAGAAUCAAAGAAAAUAUCUCAGAAAGUGCAUACUGAUGCCAAACAAGAAAGUUAUCUUCUAAAUAACUUUGAAAGAGCUAAGACAAUGUCAUAUAGAGUUUAAAAUAGAAAGUAAAUUGAUUUUGCAUGUGGGAGUUUGAAAGUAUCUCAGAAAGUGCAUACUGAUGCCAAACAAGAAAGUUAUCUUCUAAAUAACUGUAUGUUGACAUUUUAUUUUCUGUUUGAAAAUGUAGGGUUUAUAGAUUGUUUUGUGUAUUAAUAUUUUGCAGCAAGUUACUCUAACCGGUGAUAUUGUUGUGCAGUUGAAAGAGCUAAGACAAUGUCAUAUAGAGUUUAAAAUAGAAAGUAAAUUGAUUUUGCAUGUGGGAGUUUGAAAGGUACUUUUGUGUUUUCUUACAACUCCUUAUAGAUUUCCUUACAAAAGAUUUCAUUGAAACAUAGAUGUUAUGAAUGUUCCUUCUCUUAACUUUCCACCAUUUUCUGCUAAGAUUUCAUUACAUCACACACAAUGAAUAAUUUCUAAUUCUUAUGUUUGUAUGGUUAUGUGUACAUGAUAUUGUGUGUUUGUAUGGUAUGCAUAUAUCACAGUAUCUCAGAAAGUGCAUACUGAUGCCAAACAAGAAAGUUAUCUUCUAAAUAACUGUAUGUUGACAUUUUAUUUUCUGUUUGAAAAUGUAGGGUUUAUAGAUUGUUUUGUGUAUUAAUAUUUUGCAGCAAGUUACUCUAACCGGUGAUAUUGUUGUGCAGUUGAAAGAGCUAAGACAAUGUCAUAUAGAGUUUAAAAUAGAAAGUAAAUUGAUUUUGCAUGUGGGAGUUUGAAAGUUGAAAGAGCUAAGACAAUGUCAUAUAGAGUUUAAAAUAGAAAGUAAAUUGAUUUUGCAUGUGGGAGUUUGAAAGGUACUUUUGUGUUUUCUUACAACUCCUUAUAGAUUUCCUUACAAAAGAUUUCAUUGAAACAUAGAUGUUAUGAAUGUUCCUUCUCUUAACUUUCCACCAUUUUCUGCUAAGAUUUCAUUACAUCACACACAAUGAAUAAUUUCUAAUUCUUAUGUUUGUAUGGUUAUGUGUACAUGAUAUUGUGUGUUUGUAUGGUAUGCAUAUAUCACAGUAUCUCAGAAAGUGCAUACUGAUGCCAAACAAGAAAGUUAUCUUCUAAAUAACUGUAUGUUGACAUUUUAUUUUCUGUUUGAAAAUGUAGGGUUUAUAGAUUGUUUUGUGUAUUAAUAUUUUGCAGCAAGUUACUCUAACCGGUGAUAUUGUUGUGCAGUUGAAAGAGCUAAGACAAUGUCAUAUAGAGUUUAAAAUAGAAAGUAAAUUGAUUUUGCAUGUGGGAGUUUGAAAGUUGAAAGAGCUAAGACAAUGUCAUAUAGAGUUUAAAAUAGAAAGUAAAUUGAUUUUGCAUGUGGGAGUUUGAAAGGUACUUUUGUGUUUUCUUACAACUCCUUAUAGAUUUCCUUACAAAAGAUUUCAUUGAAACAUAGAUGUUAUGAAUGUUCCUUCUCUUAACUUUCCACCAUUUUCUGCUAAGAUUUCAUUACAUCACACACAAUGAAUAAUUUCUAAUUCUUAUGUUUGUAUGGUUAUGUGUACAUGAUAUUGUGUGUUUGUAUGGUAUGCAUAUAUCACAGUAUCUCAGAAAGUGCAUACUGAUGCCAAACAAGAAAGUUAUCUUCUAAAUAACUGUAUGUUGACAUUUUAUUUUCUGUUUGAAAAUGUAGGGUUUAUAGAUUGUUUUGUGUAUUAAUAUUUUGCAGCAAGUUACUCUAACCGGUGAUAUUGUUGUGCAGUUGAAAGAGCUAAGACAAUGUCAUAUAGAGUUUAAAAUAGAAAGUAAAUUGAUUUUGCAUGUGGGAGUUUGAAAGUUGAAAGAGCUAAGACAAUGUCAUAUAGAGUUUAAAAUAGAAAGUAAAUUGAUUUUGCAUGUGGGAGUUUGAAAGAAACUGCUGAAAUCACUAGGAAAUCCUCAUGGUGCAGCAAUAUUCCUUUGAUUACUGUCAUUUUAAUAAGGUUGAUUAAGAUGUAAUUUAUGUAAUUUAUACUUGAGAGUAUUUGUAUUGGUUGUGUGAAUUUAAUUUAUACUUGAGAAUUUUAAUUUGUA